AUAAAAAACCAAUGCCUUCGGGCUCCUUGGUGAUUCAUGAUAACUUAACGAAUCGCAUGGCCUUGCGCCGGCGAUGGUUCAUUCAAAUUUCUGCCCUAUCAACUUUCGAUGGUAGGAUAGUGGCCUACCAUGGUUUCAACGGGUAACGGGGAAUUAGGGUUCGAUUCCGGAGAGGGAGCCUGAGAAACGGCUACCACAUCCAAGGAAGGCAGCAGGCGCGCAAAUUACCCAAUCCCAAUUCGGGGUGGUAGUGACAAUAAAUACUGAUACAGGGCUCUUUUGGGUCUUGUAAUUGGAAUGAGUACAAUUUAAAUCCCUUAACGAGGAACAAUUGGAGGGCAAGUCUGGUGCCAGCAGCCGCGGUAAUUCCAGCUCCAAUAGCGUAUAUUAAAGUUGUUGCAGUUAAAAAGCUCGUAGUUGAACCUUGGGUCUGGCUGCCCGGUCCGCCUAACCGCGUGCACUGGUGCGGCCGGAUCUUUCCUUCUGGCUAACCUCAUGCCCUUUACUGGGUGUGCU
rnacentral:rRNA from 1 species